rnacentral:misc_RNA from 1 species
GAUGAAGAACGUAGCGAAAUGCGAUACGUAAUGUGAAUUGCAGAAUUCAGUGAAUCAUCGAAUCUUUGAACGCAUAUUGCGCUCUCUGGUAUUGCGGAGAGCAUGCUUGUUUGAGUAUCAGUAAACACCUCAACUUCCAUAUCUUUUUUGAAAUGGGAGUUGGACUUGAGUGAUCCCAACGCUUUUCCUCACCGAAAAGUGGCGGGUUACUUGAAAUGCAGGUGCAGCUGGACUUUUCUCUGAGCUAUAAGCAUAUCUAUUUAGUCUGCCUAAAAAACAGAUUAUUACCUUUGCUGCAGCUAACAUAAAGGAGAUUAGUUCUUGUGCUGACUGAUGCAGGAUUCACAAAGACAGGCUUCGGCCGACUUUGUAAACUCGAUCUCAAAUCAAGUAAGACUACCCGCUGAACUUAAGCAUAUCAAUAAGCGGAGGA